rnacentral:rRNA from 1 species
AGUGAAUAGAUACCCGGGUAGUCCUGGCCGUAAACGAUGAGGACUAGGUGUUGGAUAACUUUUAGUUAUUCGGUGCCGCCGCUAAACGCAUUAAGUCCUCCACCUGGGGAGUACGGUCGCAAGACUGAAACUCAAAGAAAUUGACGGGGACCCGCACAAAUGGUGGAGCAUGUGGUUUAAUACGACGAUACGCGUGGAACCUUACCAAGGCUUGACAUGUAUUUGACAGCCGAUGAAAGUCGGUCUUCCUUUACCGGACAGAUACACAGGUGUUGCAUGGCUGUCGUCAGCUCGUGUCGUGAGAUGUUGGGUUAAGUCCCGCAACGAGCGCAACCCUUGCCCUUUGUUGCUAAUUCACGAGAGUGAAUGCACUCUAAGGGGACCGCUGUAGAUAAUACAGAGGAAGAUGAGGAUGACGUCAAGUCAGUACGGCCCUUACGCCUUGGGCUACACACGUGCUACAAUGCGCGGCACAAUGGGCUGCAAACCCGGCGAGGGGGUAG